GUCCAGCGUCAUCGCUGGAC
rnacentral:misc_RNA from 1 species